rnacentral:rRNA from 1 species
CUGGCCUCAAAUCAGGUAG